UACAGAGGGGGCGAGCGUUGUUCGGAAUUACUGGGCGUAAAGGGCGCGUAGGCGGCCAACUAAGUCAGACGUGAAAUCCCUCGGCUCAACCGGGGAACUGCGUCUGAUACUGGAUGGCUUGAAUUCGGGAGAGGGAUGCGGAAUUCCAGGUGUAGCGGUGAAAUGCGCAGAUAUCAGGAGGAACACCGAUGGCGAAGGCAGAUCUCUGGGCCGUAACUGACG
rnacentral:rRNA from 1 species